ACGAGAAAAAGGCGCUCGCGCCGCUCUCUCAAACCUUUGCGUACCCAAUCUUGUCUCUUGCGGGGGGUCCGCCCCCCGCGAGGAACCAAAACAGUCGUCUGAUGUUGUCAGAUCUCACAAAAAAAGAAAAA
rnacentral:misc_RNA from 1 species